CCUACGUGCGGCAGCAGUGAGGAAUAUUGGUCAAUGGGCUUACGCCUGAACCAGCCAAGUCGCGUGAGGGAAGACUGCCCUAUGGGUUGUAAACCUCUUUUGUCAGGGAGCAACGCCGGCUACGUGUAGCCGGACUGAGAGUACUCGAAGAAAAAGCAUCGGCUAACUCCGUGCCAGCAGCCGCGGUAAUACGGAGGAUGCGAGCGUUAGCCGGAUUUAUUGGGUUUAAAGGGUGCGUAGGCGGAAUGCCAAGUCAGCGGUAAAAUCGCGGGGCUCAACCUCGCUCCGCCGUUGAAACUGGCGUUCUUGAGUGGGCGAGAAGUAUGCGGAAUGCGUGGUGUAGCGGUGAAAUGCAUAGAUAUCACGCAGAACUCCGAUUGCGAAGGCAGCAUACCGGCGCCCAACUGACGCUGAAGCACGAAAGCGUGGGUAUCGAACAGGAUUAGAUACCCUUGUAGUC
rnacentral:rRNA from 1 species